GACUGAGCGGCGGACGGGUGAGUAACGCGUGGAAAACCUGCCUCAUACAGGGGGAUAACAGUUAGAAAUGACUGCUAAUACCGCAUAAGCGCACAGCACCGCAUGGUGCAGUGUGAAAAACUCCGGUGGUAUGAGAUGGUUCCGCGUCUGAUUAGCUAGUUGGUGGGGUAACAGCCCACCAAGGCGACGAUCAGUAGCCGACCUGAGAGGGUGACCGGCCACAUUGGGACUGAGACACGGCCCAAACUCC
rnacentral:rRNA from 1 species